GACGAACGCUGGCGGCGUGCUUAACACAUGCAAGUCGAACGAAGUGGCGAACGGGUGAGUAACGCGUAAUCAACCUGCCCUUCAGUGGGGGACAACAGUUGGAAACGACUGCUAAUACCGCAUACUGAAGGUGGUGAUUGCGUUGCAUUAGGCAGGUGGAGGGGUAACGGCCCACCAAGGCGAGGAUCAGUAGCCGGUCUGGGAGGGUGAACGGCCCCAUUGGGACUGGGACACGGUCCAGACUCCUACGGGAGGCAGCAGUGGGGAAUAUUGCACAAUGGACGGAAGUCUGACGGAGCAACGCCGCGUGAGUGAUGACGGCCUUCGGGUUGGAAAGCUCUGUUAAUCGGGACGCGGUACCGGAAUAGAAAGCCACGGCUAACUACGUGCCAGCAGCCGCGGUAAUUC
rnacentral:rRNA from 1 species